AUUGAACGCUGGCGGCAGGCCUAACACAUGCAAGUCGAGCGGAUGAAGGGGCUUGCUCCUGGAUUCAGCGGCGGACGGGUGAGUAAUGCGCAGGAAUCUACCUCGUAGUGGGGGAUAACGUCUCGAAAGGGGCGCUAAUACCGCAUACGUUCUGAGGAAGAAAGCAGGGGACCUUCGGGCCUUGCGCUAUGAGAUGAGCUUGCGUCCGAUUAGCUAGUUGGUGGGGUAAAGGCCUACCAAGGCGACGAUCGGUAACUGGUCUGAGAGGAUGAUCAGUCACACUGGAACUGAGACACGGUCCAGACUCCUACGGGAGGCAGCAGUGGGGAAUAUUGGACAAUGGGGGCGAACCCUGAUCCAGCCAUGCCGCGUGUGUGAAGAAGGCCUCGGUUG
rnacentral:rRNA from 1 species